UACGAAGGGGGCUAGCGUUGCUCGGAAUCACUGGGCGUAAAGCGCACGUAGGCGGCUUUUUAAGUCAGGGGUGAAAUCCUGGAGCUCAACUCCAGAACUGCCUUUGAUACUGAGAGCUUGAGUCCGGGAGAGGUGAGUGGAACUGCGAGUGUAGAGGUGAAAUUCGUAGAUAUUCGCAAGAACACCAGUGGCGAAGGCGGCUCACUGGCCCGAUACUGACGCUGAGGUGCGAAAGCGUGGGGAGCAAACAGG
rnacentral:rRNA from 1 species